UGAAAAUGUUGCAAAGUACUGGCGCCA
rnacentral:piRNA from 1 species